AAACAUACAUAUACUCACACAGCUGCAUUAUGUAUAUGUUAAUGCGUCUUUGUGCAUGUGUGUGUGUGUGUAUAUAUAUACACAUGCAUACACAAAUACAGGAAUGAA
rnacentral:miRNA from 1 species